UAGUAGUUGCUUAUCAUGUAUAAUUUGUUCUCUAGAGCAAGGAAAAGGGACGAAGCAAGAGUCAUCACCAUAAACGCCAGAAGCACAAAGUUAAAGAGGUAGGCCGCUGUUAUUCAUAUAGCUUUAUUUUCACAAGAUUGUUAGAUUAAAAUAACUCUUUUAGGGGGAAAACUUUCAAUGUUUCAAUACAUGCAUGCCUCAAAGAGUAAACAAUUAAAAACCUGUUCUUGUCAUAUGAAAUGACUUUUUUUUUUGGGUCUAUUUGUCCCUCUUUUUACCUGCUUUAGAAGGUUCAUUUGUUUUAGGGCUAAUAUAGGAAGCACAAACUAAAACAAAAAA
rnacentral:lncRNA from 1 species